ACGCGCUGACCCAGUGCCAGGUCGUAAUCUUUCAUAAAAUUGGAGUUCACGUGUAAAAUCACUGAUAUACACCGACAGAGUGUCUGUGACUGAGGGAGCGGUGUUAAGAUGAUUCACUGUACUGUGCUUCUUUGUACUUCUUGUGCGGUUUUAAUGCAGUAGGCCUACCCCUUUUACGUUUGUUUAUUUCGAUGUUUAAUUUUCUGCCGUUAUUAUUAUCCAUUCUAUUAUUUUUUUUUACGUUUCCAAGCUUCUUAUUUUAUGGAUGGACUGUGUGAUUUUGUUGUUUCCUCAACAUUUAGACAUUUCAAUAUCACAUUUAAAAGUUUAUAUAGAAAAAGUACAUGGUGUCUUUUAAUGAAUACAGGCCAAGUGAUUACUGAUCAUUUUACUAACUGAAAACUUUUAGCAUAAUUGUUAAAAUAUUGCUCCCUCACUCAGUAUCUGUGGCCCAUAUGCUUCUAUUUAUGUGUUUGGUGGAAGCCCAAGUGAAAGUAACUCUUACAUAACUCUUAUAUAAACCAAGAGUUUAUUUGUGUUGUGUUCAGGGCUCUGUUUGCAAACAUAAUUGUUCCACAGGUAAUGUGUUCACUGUCCACAGCAUAAGAGACGGUUUGAUGUUCCUGCUGUUCCAUUAGUAGUGUAUCUCUUCCUUUUUGAGAUUCCUGCUCUUAUCUCUCCCCUCGCAGAAAAUGUCAUCAGCCUCCUCAAAUGAAUCCACAACCCACUGUAUCUCUGUAUGUGGACCCUCUUAUCUAUACAACUGAACAAAGACCACCUUAUCAUCCCUCAAAAAGAGUCUGCCUUCGGUGUGAUGAGGUAAUGAGUGUCUUUAAGGUGUGGCAUGUUGUCAUGACAGCACAGUCGGGGCCUGACGCUACCUGCGGGCUGCAUGCCUCAACAGAGUGAAGAUACUGUCACACCUUUGAGAUUGUAACAGCCAGGGUAAUGACACAUUUAACUGAUGACGACAUUAUUUUAACGCAUUCAUCUCACUGUAAGAAGUUAUCUAAACAAUCAAGACUUCACAGGCCGCCAGUGAAGUCAAUAAAAACUUCUGUCAUGUGUGCAUAUGUGUUUAAUGUUUUUUUUAUUUUUUUUAUUAUUAUUAUUUGUUGAAGUUGUUGUGCAUUUCACACUAAAGUGACACUAUACAUCCACAGGGGAAUCAGGUCAGGGCAGGGUUUGGAUUGUGCAAAAGGAAGGCGGGGGCAAAGCUGCAAUUUCAUUAAAGUGGCAUCACGGGUAGAUUUAUCUUUAAGCGAGGUGUGUUAAACAGAUGCUCAAGCUGUGGUCCAAAUGUUCCAAAUGAGUCUGUUGGUCUAAAAAAGAAAGGAAAUCCUCAUAGAAGGGCCUGGCCAUGAAUAACAGGGAAUGAGAGUGUAAUACCUUUAUGACCGUGAAAUUGAUUUCUUUUUUUUUUUCACAAUUACUUCUUUAGAAAGGUUUAUAGACACAGUACCGUCACAACAAACCUGCAUUAAGAUAAUUUCCUCACACUCUUCAGUGCAGUUCACCUGGAUGUAGGUGAACCUAUUUCAGGCUCAUUCCCUGCACCCAAAACAAUUGAGAAAAAACAAGACAGGCUGAGUGAAAUGAGUGUGUGUAUGAACGAUGUGUACGCGUGUGUCUUAGUCUGUGUGAGGCAGCUUCUAGUUACAAUCUAAAUCUUACACAUGGGAAACCUGAGGACUGUUUGGGGCAUCUUUUUACCAGCAGUCUCUGUGGGGUUUCAGCCAGUACCUGUUGAAACUCCAUCUCUGCAGGUUUAAUAUUUAAAGACUGUUGAGAGUUUGGUUCCCCUUAGAGAUCAGGAUCGACGUGUCCUCGCGCUCCUGGUCAGCACAGCAGCACCCAAACCUCCCUGAAACGCACUGAAGGGAUCUGAUCUGCUCCGAGACCAGAUUUUGGACGGAUCAACAGAGCCAACGCAAGAAGAGCAGUGACAGCCAAAACACACUUGUAUACACAAUGUAUGUGAACUCUUCUGGAGCUGAGAAUGGAUCCUAUUCACUGACCUUCCUGGGAAAGAGAGUAGGGAGACAUCACUCUGUGGCUCCUGCAGGCAAGCAACGCGCCUGGGAGACCACUGACAGGUCUGGCUGCACUGAGGACUCUCUGGUGUCCUCGCGGCCCGCACGGGUCCCGGUGGCAGCACAGGUGCUGGAGGAUUUACCAGGCAGCGUACCGGAGCUGAAGGAUGAGAGGCCAUGUCCAAUAAUGCACAACAGACAGUUUGACAGCACAGCAGGUGUUUCUGGGAGGAAGGUAACAGCAUGACGGCACGCCCACAUUCCUGUAUGAGGAAACAAAGAGGGGAGAGGGUGGGCUGGGGACGGGUGUGGGACAGAGAGUUGUAAAAUAUUCAAGGGAAAUGUGUCCGUAUUUUAGACAUACCUGGCCACAGUGAUGGAUUAACUUGAAAAUGAAAAUAAACAGGGACUAACUAUUGCUGUCUUCUCAUUUCAUAUAAACUCAUAAAUAACUGAAUUACUGACAGUACCUACAUUUUGAAUGUAUUUUCAGAAAUAAACAUGUAAAUAGACAUUAAACUGGCUGCUAAUCAUAAUGGUGAGGAUGUAAUACCUGUUUAAAAUCUAUUAAAUAAAAUGUUAAACUGUUUUA